AGCCAAAAAUUUACAGGCAGAUGGAGGAUGCCCUGGGACUGGGAGGCGAUGAAGGACGUGGCGUGGCUGCGAUAAGCCUCGGGGAGGUGUCUAGCAACCUUUGAUCCGAGGAUUUCCGAAUAGGGAAACCUAAUCCAGUGAUAAAUUGGAUUGUCCGCUGAUAAGGCGGAGGCGAACCCGCUGAAGUGAAACAUCUCAAUAAGCGGAGGAAAAGAGAACGAAGUUUAUUCCCUUAGUAGCGGCGAGCGAAAGGGGAGGAGCCCAAACCAUUAUUUACAAUGGGGUUGUAAAGAAUAUAGCGUCGGAGGUAUUCCUGAUGCAUUGGAAUACUUUCGAGGGAGAGCACCUAGGUAAAGUGGUUAGCCCAAACACUCUGGAAAGAGGUACCAUAGAUGGUGACAGUCCAGUAGGCGAAAACCAUAUUACGCUCCUUGUUAUUUUCUUAAGUACCACGAGGAAUGAAAACCUUGUGGGAAGCUGGCAGGACUAUGCUGCCAAGGCUAAAUACUACCCGGUCACCGAUAGUGCACCAGUACCGUGAGGGAAAGGUGAAAAGUACCCCGGUGAGGGGGGUGAAAUAGAACCUGAAACCAUCUGCUUACAAGGAGUCAGAGCUGAGCAUAUAACUUGUUAUGUGUUUGGUGAUGGCGUACCUAUUGGAGAAGGAGCCAACGAGUUUAUAGGUUUUCCAAGUCUAAUCUCGCAAAACGAGAGGAGGCAUAGUGAAAGCGAGGGUGAAUAGCCCGUUAGGGAAACCUGUAAGACCCGAAGCCAAGCGAGCUUGCCAUGGCCAGGGUGAAUCCGUCAGAAAUGACGGAGGAGGCCCGAACUCGUGGAUCGUGCAAUAUCCUGAGAUGAGCUGUGGUAAGGAGCGAAAGACUAAUCUAGCUUGGGAAUAGCUGGUUCUCCCCGAAAUAUCUUUAGGGUUAGCCUAGGGAAGUAGCUAAGAGAGGUAGAGCACUGGAAGAAAUAUUGUGGGAUUUUCUCAGGUAUUUCUACCAAACUCCGAAUGCUCUUAGUGUAAUCCCUGGAGUCAGAACUUGGGCGCUAAGGUCCAGGCUCAAAAGGGGAACAGCCCUGAUCCCAAUCUAAGGUCCCUAAGUUUAAGCUAAGUGCAAAAUAAGGAGGUGGAAUUUCUUAGACAGCUAGGAGGUGAGCUCAGAAGCAGCUAUCCUUCAAAAAGUGCGUAAUAGCUUACUAGCUAAGGGGUUCUGCGCCGAAGAUUUAUAGGGGCUAAAGCUUAACACCGAAGAUGGGACUAAGCAUAUAAAUUUUUUAUAUGCUUUGGGGUAGGGGAGCAUUCUCAUUGCAGUGAAGUCAAGCCGUGAGGCUUGAUGGAGCGAUGAGAAGCGAGAAUGUUGGCAUGAGUAACCGCAAUGCGUUUGAGAGCAACGCACGCCAGAAGCCCAAGGUUUCCCUGGCAAUGAUGAUCAACCAGGGGUUAGGCGGCCCUAACCUUGCCUCCGAAAGGAGAGCGAGGGAUGGACAGCCGGUUAAUAUUCCGGCCCUGCUAUAUCUUUCUGAAGAGUGACGCAAUUCAAUAGUCUAAGGGGAUUAUUGGCUUUCCUGAGGGGAGUUUUUCCCCAUCUUAGAUGGAAUGGAUUGCCCAGAAAAACUUAUAGGGUUAAAGAUAUAGCAUCCGUACCGCAAACCGACACAGGUGGGUUGGCUGAGAAUGCUAAGGCGAACGGGUGAAAACUCCUGAAGGAACUAGGCAAAAAAACUACCCGUAAGUUCGCGAGAUGGGUUUCCUCUACUAUCAAAUAGUAGGGGGCGCAGCGAAAGUUCUCUAGGCGACUGUUUAUCAAAAACACAGGUCCCUGCUUAACUCGUAAGAGGAGGUAUAGGGGCUGAGGCCUGACCAGUACUUGUGUGUUACGGGUGGGGGUCCAAGCACAUAAAUUUUAUGUGUUCGGGCUCACUGCUUCAAGCCACAGGUGAACGUCCGCGGUAACUCUGACCGUGUUAAAGUAGCGUAAUCCCUUGUCGGGUAAGUUCCGGCCCGCAUGAAAGGCUUUACGACCUAGAGACUGUCUCCAGGAGUAGCCCGGUGAAAAUACAGUAAGCGUGAAGACGCGCUUUACCUGCGGCUAGACGGAAAGACCCCGGCAGCUUUACUGCAGGUUGGCAUUGGAUUUUGGGUUCGGAUGCGUAGCGUAGCAGGUAGGCUAUGAAGUCUGGCUCCCGGGCUAGACAGAGCCGCCAAUGAAACACCUGCCUUUUGAACUCUUAGUUCUAAUCGGCUGUUGAAGCAGAAACAGUGUCAAUUGGGCAGUUUAACUGGGGCAGUUGCCCUCUAAAAAGUAACGAGGGCGUUCAAAGGUCGGCUAGCUCCGGAUGGAAAUCGGAGUGGUCCUGCAAAGGGAAAAGCCGGCUUUACUGUGAGGAAGAUGUUCCGAACAGUUGGGAAACCAGGACUUAGUGAACCGACUUCUCGUUAUAGAAAGGGAGAAGAUCAGCAGACAAAAGUUACGCCGGGGAUAACAGGCUAGUAGGGCCCGCGAGUCCAUAUCAACGGCCCUGUUCGGCACCUCGAUGUCGACUCGUCUCAUCCUGGGGGUGGAGAAGCUCCCAAGGGUUCGGCUGUUCGCCGAUUAAAGAGACCCGUGAGUUGGGUUCAAUACGUCGUGAGACAGUAUGGUCCCUAUCUACCGCAGGCGUUGAGCCUUGAGAGGAGUUGGUCUUAGUACGAGAGGACCAGGCUGAACCAACCUCUAGUGUACCAGUUGUUCUGCCAAGAGCAUAGCUGGGUAGCUACGUUGGGACGGGAUAAGCACUGAAAGCAUCUAAGUGCGAAGCCUACCUCAAGAUUAGGGCUCAUAGUCCGGUUGGAGACUACGACCUUGAUAGGGCACAGGUGUAAGUCCCGUAAGGGAUUGAGCCGAGUGCUACUAAUCGGACAUUCUUUUGGCUAG
rfam:Parcubacteria bacterium DG_74_2 WOR1_52_54_806, whole genome shotgun sequence.